rnacentral:tRNA from 1 species
UUUCUUAUGGUGUAAAUAACACAUUACAUUUUCGUUGUAGAGCUGGAGACCAAUUACCCUCCUAAGGAUU